rnacentral:rRNA from 1 species
CGGGGUGAGUAAUGCUUGGGAAUCUAGCUUAUGGAGGGGGAUAACUACGGGAAACUGUAGCUAAUACCGCGUAGUAUCGGAAGAUGAAAGUGUGGGACCUUCGGGCCAUAUGCCAUAGGAUGAGCCCAAGUGGGAUUAGGUAGUUGGUGAGGUAAAGGCUCACCAAGCCGACGAUCUCUAGCUGGUCUGAGAGGAUGACCAGCCACACUGGGACUGAGACACGGCCCAG